CCUGGUGUGGCUCAGUGGAUAGAGCAUCAGCCUGCAGACUGAAGGGUCCCGGGUUCGAUUCCCGGUCAGGG
rnacentral:tRNA from 1 species